rnacentral:rRNA from 1 species
AAUGGACGCUGGCGGCAUGCUUUACACAUGCAAGUCGAACGGCAGCACGGGCUUCGGCCUGGUGGCGAGUGGCGAACGGGUGAGUAAUAUAUCGGAACGUACCCAGAAGUGGGGAUAACGUAGCGAAAGUUACGCUAAUACCGCAUACGAUCUAUGGAUGAAAGCAGGGGAACGCAAGGCCUUGUGCUCCUGGAGCGGCCGAUAUCUGAUUAGCUAGUUGGUGAGGUAAAGGCUCACCAAGGCGACGAUCAGUAGCUGGUCUGAGAGGACGACCAGCCACACUGGAACUGAGACACGGUCCAGACUCCUACGGGAGGCAGCAGUGGGGAAUUUUGGACAAUGGGCGCAAGCCUGAUCCAGCAAUGCCGCGUGAGUGAAGAAGGCCUUCGGGUUGUAAAGCUCUUUUGUCAGGGAAGAAACGGUAGAGGCUAAUAUCCUUUGCUAAUGACGGUACCUGAAGAAUAAGCACCGGCUAACUACGUG